AGAGUUUGAUCCUGGCUCAGGACGAACGCUGGCGGCGUGCCUAACACAUGCAAGUCGAACGGGGAUCAUGAAGCGGAAGUUUUCGGAUGGAAGGUUCAUGAUUCUAGUGGCGCACGGGUGAGUAACGCGUGAACAACCUGCCUUUCAGUGGGGGAUAACACCUGGAAACAAGUGCUAAUACCGCAUGAGACCACGACCCGGCAUCGGGAUGGGGUCAAAGAUUUAUCGCUGAAAGAGGGGUUCGCGUCCCAUUAGGUAG
rnacentral:rRNA from 1 species